AUACUUACCUGACAGAGGAGAUACCAUGAUCAUGAAAGUGGCUUUCCCAGGGUGAUGCUGAUCCAUUGCACAGGGGAGCUGCUGACCCCUGUGAUUUCCUGACAUGGGGGAAACUCGACUGCCUAAUUUGUGUUGGUGGGGGAUGUGUCUGUGCUUUCCCCUG
rnacentral:snRNA from 1 species